rnacentral:rRNA from 1 species
UACGGGAGGCAGCAGUGGGGAAUAUUGCACAAUGGGCGCAAGCCUGAUGCAGCCAUGCCGCGUGUAUGAAAAAGGCCUUCGGGUUGUAAAGUACUUUCAGUCGUGAGGAAGGUGUUAAGGUUAAUAACCUUAGCAAUUGACGUUAGCGACAGAAGAAGCACCGGCUAACUCCGUGCCAGCAGCCGCGGUAAUACGGAGGGUGCGAGCGUUAAUCGGAAUUACUGGGCGUAAAGGGCACGCAGGCGGUUAAUUAAGUUGGAUGUGAAAUCCCCGGGCUUAACCUGGGAAUGGCAUUCAAGACUGGUUAGCUAGAGUCUUGUAGAGGGGGUAGAAUUCCAUGUGUAGCGGUGAAAUGCGUAGAGAUGUGGAGGAAUACCGGUGGCGAAGGCGGCCCCUGGACAAAGACUGACGCUCAUGUGCGAAAGCGUGGGAGCAAACGAGGAUUAGAUACC